AUUUAGAUUGUCUUACAAUUUACUGGACGCUGCCAACUUACAGAUUUAUGUUUUACAUUUCUAAUUAGUAUACCAUAGCACGUGUUUAGAAGUUUCAUAUCAUCACGUUAUUUUACAAGUUUUAUGACAUGUUACGUAAUUGGGAUUCUUUAAGAGAUAAAUUCAACAUGGAUUGAUUAUAAAUCAGACGAGUUCCGAAUAAACAAACUCCAAAUUUGCUAUCGAUCUGAUUGAAACUAAUAGUACAGACUUGUAUACGAUUGUGUUUUUAUUACUUGAUAGAUAGAUGUGGAAUUAAUGCAAAAUGGCCGUGACAGACAACAUAACUGUAAAUUUGAGUAUAAUCUUGAAUAAAGCGACAGAGAGCAGCAUAGAAAUAAUGAAGUACAAGAUCUGUGUGUGGGAAUAUUUUUUGUAUUGCCUGAAACUUUGUUUAAUUGGUUCGACAUACCAUGGAAUCGACACGUGUGUUAUAUUUUUUAUGUGUAUUUUUCAAUGGUCCCUUUUUAUGCGUCAACAUAUGCAAUUGUCGUGUUAUCAAUUGACCGUACAUAUGUUAUUUUAAGACCAUUUGCUUCAGCAUCUAAAGGCAAACAAUACCGAUAUGGAAUGGCAUUGUCUGCAUGGGUUAUUGGGUGUAUUCUUGCUAUUCCGUACGGAGUCUUUGGUGAAUAUAGUGAAGAGGACAUUUACUGCUUACAUGUUGCUCCAAUCUUAAUAAUGUUAUACAUGGAUCUCUGUACUAUAAUCAUAAUUCCACUGAUAAUCAUAUGUGUGUGCUACAUUAUUGUCAUCAUCAAAAUACGUGGUCGCGAAAGAGAUGAAUUUAUUCUGGAUAAAAACAAAGAUUCAGAUAAUGAUUGUGAUAUAGAGUUAAAACAUAAAGCUGCAACAAAGGCAAAGAUCAGAACCAUAAAAUUAUUAUGUGUUGUCGUUUUCGCAUAUAUAAUUUGUUGGUCCCCGAUAACAAUUGCUGCCAUUGUGCUCCAUUAUAGACUCGCGGAAUAUGGACUGUGGUUUAUGGUGCUUUAUCUGCUUGCUCCGUUAAACAGCCUGGCAAAUCCACUGGUAUUUCUCAUUUUCAACCAGAAAAUGUUUCGGCGUAAAAAGAAAAAAGGUUUUAGCAGAACGACUUUUAAUACAGACACCCAGAGAGUAACAUUAUGUAGCUAGAUUUGCAAUGAUUAUGAUCAGACGCAUGAUAUGUACAUGUACAUGCUUCAUUUGGUGCAGUAUAUAUAAUCGUUUUGGCUUCCCCCUUUUGUAAUAGCUUUUGGGCUUUCAAAUAUUUUGGCCCCGAGCAAAGAAGAGACAUUAAUUGUCGAGAUGCGUAUCUGGUGCAGUAAUAUUGGCACUGUUAAUACUAUUAUAUAAUUAUGUUAUAAUGAUAAUAAAAAAAGCAGAGAUAUGAA